UGGAACUGCAGGAUACACUCCCCUCCUGCUACCUAGGCAGGCGUGAGGGUGUGACGGCCGCGCAUUCGCCAGACGAGAGCGAUGGCUGAGAACGCCGCACCAGGUCUGAUCUCAGAGCUGAAGCUGGCUGUGCCCUGGGGCCACAUCGCAGCCAAAGCCUGGGGCUCCCUGCAGGGCCCUCCAGUUCUCUGCCUGCACGGCUGGCUGGACAAUGCCAGCUCCUUCGACAGACUCAUCCCUCUUCUCCCGCAAGACUUUUAUUACGUUGCCAUGGAUUUCGGAGGUCAUGGGCUCUCGUCCCAUUACAGCCCAGGUGUCCCAUAUUACCUCCAGACUUUUGUGAGUGAGAUCCGAAGAGUUGUGGCAGCCUUGAAAUGGAAUCGAUUCUCCAUUCUGGGCCACAGCUUCGGUGGCGUCGUGGGCGGAAUGUUUUUCUGUACCUUCCCCGAGAUGGUGGAUAAACUUAUCUUGCUGGACACGCCGCUCUUUCUCCUGGAAUCAGAUGAAAUGGAGAACUUGCUGACCUACAAGCGGAGAGCCAUAGAGCACGUGCUGCAGGUAGAGGCCUCCCAGGAGCCCUCGCACGUGUUCAGCCUGAAGCAGCUGCUGCAGAGGCAGAGAACAGCAUUGACUUCGUCAGCAGGGAGCUGUGUGCGCAUUCCAUCAGGAAGCUGCAGGCCCAUGUCCUGUUGAUCAAAGCAGUCCACGGAUAUUUUGAUCCAAGAGAGAAUUACUCUGACAAGGAGUCCCUGUCGUUCAUGAUAGACACAAUGAAAUCCACCCUCAAAGAGGACUACUUCGGAUACAAUCACAGCAACCCUGGCCUCGGCCCUGCCCUGUCCCUGCCAUGCAACUUCACAACUCAGCUGGCCUAGACCCCUGGGAGGCCUCCAAGUCCCUAAGCGGUUCCAGUUUGUGGAAGUCCCAGGCAAUCACUGUGUCCACAUGAGCGAACCCCAGCACGUGGCCAGUAUCAUCAGCUCCUUCUUACAGUGCACACACACGCUCCCAGCCCAGCUGUAGCUCUGGGCCUGGAACUAUGAAGACCUAGUGCUCCCAGACUCAACACUGGGACUCUGAGUUCCUGAGCCCCACAACAAGGCCAGGGAUGGUGGGGACAGGCCUCACUAGUCUUGAGGCCCAGCCUAGGAUGGUAGUCAGGGGAAGGAGCGAGAUUCCAACUUCAACAUCUGUGACCUCAAGGGGGAGACAGAGUCUGGGUUCCAGGGCUGCUGUCUCCUGGCUAAUAAUCUCCAGCCAGCUGGAGGAAGGAAGGGCGGGCUGGGCCCACCUAGCCUUUCCCUGCUGCCCAACUGGAUGGAAAAUAAAAGGUUCUUGUAUUCUCA
rnacentral:lncRNA from 1 species